rnacentral:rRNA from 1 species
UGGCGGACGGGUGAGUAAUGUCUGGGAAACUGCCUGAUGGAGGGGGAUAACUACUGGAAACGGUAGCUAAUACCGCAUAACGUCGCAAGACCAAAGAGGGGGGACCCUCGGGCCUCUUGCCAUCGGAUGUGCCCAGAUGGGAUUAGCUUGUUGGUGGGGUAACGGCUCACCAAGGCGACGAUCCCUAGCUGGUCUGAGAGGAUGACCAGCCACACUGGAACUGAGACACGGUCCAGACUCCUACGGGAGGCAGCAUG